rnacentral:rRNA from 1 species
AGAGCACAAGGGGAAUGCCUUGGCACCGAGAGCCGAAGAAGGACGUGACUAACUGCGAUAAGCUACGGGGAGCUGUAAGUGAGCGUUAUAUCCGUAGAUUUCCGAAUGGAGCAAUCCGAUUAGAGGAAAGUCUAAUCAUCAUAUACUGAAUACAUAGGUAUAUGAGGGGAACCGCCUGAACUGAAACAUCUAAGUAGGGCGAGGAAGAGAAAUCAACUGAGAUUCCGUAAGUAGUGGCGAGCGAACGCGGAAGAGGCCAAACCUAAUGUAGUAAUAUGUUAGGGGUUCGGACAGUAUAAUGAAUUGUCGAAAUUUAGCCGAAUGUCAUGGGAAGGGCAAUCAAAGAAGGUGAAAAUCCUGUAGGCGAAAAGUUAAGACAUCAGACUGUAUCCAGAGUACCGCCGGACACGUGAAACCCGGUGGGAAUACGGGGGGACCAUCCUCCAAGCCUAAAUACUACUCGGUGACCGAUAGAGAAGAAGUACUGUGAAGGAAAGGUGAAAAGCACCCCGGAAGGGGAGUGAAAGAGAACCUGAAACCUUGUGUUUACAAGCACCGAAAGUUCAUCAACGAACGAUCGGGUACCUUUUGUAGAAUGGUCCGGCGAGUGAAUGUAACUGGCAAGGUUAAGCACUUAAGGUGUGAAGCCGUAGCGAGAGCGAGUCUGAAAAGGGCGCAUGAAGUCAGUUGUAUUCGACCCGAAACCGGGUGACCUACCCAUGUCCAGGCUGAAGUGCAGGUAAAACUUCAUGGAGGGCCGAACCGACUCCCGUUGAAAUGGUAGCGGAUGAGGUGUGGGUAGCGGAGAAAUUCCAAUCGAACCCGGAGAUAGCUGGUUCUCUCCGAAAUAGCUUUAGGGCUAGCCUUGGAAUAGAUUACUGGAGGUAAAGCACUGAAUUGGCUAGGGGCCGAGAGGUUACUGAACCUUAUCAAACUAAGAAUGCCAGAUAAUCGUUUUCCAGGAGUCAGACAGUGGGAGAUAAGUUUCAUUGUCAAAAGGGAAACAGCCCAGACCUACAGCUAAGGUCCCAAAGUAUAGUUAAGUGGAAAAGGAUGUGGAAUUGCAUAGACAACCAGGAUGUUGGCUUAGAAGCAGCCACUCAUUAAAAGAGUGCGUAAUAGCUCACUGGUCGAGUGACUCUGCGCGGAAAAUAUAACGGGGCUAAGCAUGCAACCGAAGCUUAGGAUUGUCUUAAGACAGUGGUAGGGGAGCGUCGUGUACGGGGUGAAGUCGCAGCGGAAGCAGCGGUGGACUGUACAGGAGUGAGAAUGCCGGAAUGAGUAGCGAGAAUUAUGUGGGAAUCAUAAUGGCCGAAAAUCUAAGGUUUCUUGGGGAAGGUUCGUCCGCCCAAGGUAAGCCGGGAGCUAAGGCGAGGCCGCGAGGCGUAGUCGAUGCACAUACGGUAGAAAUUCCGUAGCCACCGAACUUUAAACCAGAAGGACACUUGCAGAUAGCGGAACCCAGCCGUUGGUUGAGCUGGGCGUAAGGGACUGAAAUAUAGUAGGGAAGUCCGCGAUGCUGUGAGGCGAGAAAAGCUCUGGUGUAUGCUAAGGUGCCCGUACCGCAAACCGACACAGGUAGAUGAGGAGAGAAUCCUAAGGCCAACGGGAGAAGGGUUGUUAAGGAACUCGGCAAAUUGACCCCGUAACUUCGGGAGAAGGGGUGCUCCAGAGAUGGAGCCGCAGAGAAUCGGCCCAAGCAACUGUUUACCAAAAACACAGGUUUGUGCUAAAUCGAAAGAUGACGUAUACGAGCUGACGCCUGCCCGGUGCUGGAAGGUUAAGAGGAGAUGUGCAAGCAUUGAAUCGAAGCCCCAGUGAACGGCGGCCGUAACUAUAACGGUCCUAAGGUAGCGAAAUUCCUUGUCAGGUAAGUUCUGACCCGCACGAAUGGUGUAACGAUCUGGGCACUGUCUCAACAACCCGCCCGGCGAAAUUGUAGUACCGGUGAAGAUGCCGGUUACCCGCGACUAGACGGAAAGACCCCAUGGAGCUUUACUACAACUUAAUAUUGAGUAAUUGCAAAUCAUGUAGAGGAUAGGUGGGAGGCUAUGAAGUAAUGGCGCUAGCUAUUAUGGAGCCGCCCUUGGAAUACCACCCUUGAUUUACAGUUAUUCUAACUUCCUCCCUGGAUGGGAGGGAAGACAGUGUUAGGCGGGUAGUUUGGCUGGGGCGGCCGCCUCCCAAAUAGUAACGGAGGCGCCCUAAGGUACCCUCAGUAUGGUCGGAAAUCAUACGUAGAGCGCAAAUGCAUAAGGGUGCUUGACUGCGAGACACACAGGUCGAGCAGGUACGAAAGUAGGGAUUAGUGACCAGGCGGUUUCAUUGUGGAAUGGCCGUCGCUUAACGGAUAAAAGCUACCCUGGGGAUAACAGGCUGAUCGCGUCCAAGAGUUCACUUCGACGACGCGGUUUGGCACCUCGAUGUCGGCUCAUCACAUCCUGGAGGGGCAGUACCUUCCAAGGGUUAGGCUGUUCGCCUAUUAAAGUGGUACGCGAGCUGGGUUCAAAACGUCGUGAGACAGUUUGGUCCCUAUCUGUCGUGGGCGUAGGAAGUUUGAAAGGAUCUGACCCUAGUACGCAAGGACCAGGUUGGACGUAACUACGGUACACCGGUUGUUUCGCCAGAAGCAUAGCCGGGUAGCCGCUUACGGAUCGAAUAAACGCUGAAAGCAUCUAAGCGUGAAAUCGUCCUUAAGAUGAGACUUCCGAUUCUAACGAAUUAAGAUCCCUUCUAUGUUAGGAGGUUGAUAGGUCACAGAUGUACGCAUAGUGAUAUGUUUAGUCGAGUGAUACUAAUAGAUCGAUCACUUAUUU